AUGAACGCUGGCGGCGUGCCUAAUACAUGCACGUCGAGCGAACAGACGAGGAGCUUGCUCCUCUGACGUUAGCGGCGGACGGGUGAGUAACACGUGGAUAACCUACCUAUAAGACUGGAUAACUUCGGGAAACCGGAGCUAAUACCGGAUAACAUGUUGAACCGCAUGGUUCAACAGUGAAAGACGGUCUUGCUGUCACUUAUAGAUGGAUCCGCGCCGCAUUAGCUAGUUGGUAAGGUAACGGCUUACCAAGGCAACGAUGCGUAGCCGACCUGAGAGGGUGAUCGGCCACACUGGAACUGAGACACGGUCCAGACUCCUACGGGAGGCAGCAGUAGGGAAUCUUCCGCAAUGGGCGAAAGCCUGACGGAGCAACGCCGCGUGAGUGAAGAAGGUCUUCGGAUCGUAAAACUCUGUUAUUAGGGAAGAACAAAUGUGUAAGUAACUAUGCACGUCUUGACGGUACCUAAUCAGAAAGCCACGGCUAACUACGUG
rnacentral:rRNA from 1 species